rnacentral:lncRNA from 1 species
GUAGCAUUGUAAUUCUGGAAGAGUUCAAGGUACCUUUGUUAACAAAAAUUCCUUUAAAAUUAACAAAAUUCCUUUAAAAAACACCUCUUAAAAUGCUCUAGAACACUGUAUACUGGUGUCGUAACUUUUCAAGGCUUAGCUUACCAUGUAAAUGGACUAGUGAUCAAGACCAUAUUGUAUUUCUCUUCUUUAGAUUUCCCUGAGGUGGUGAGCAGAGUUAUAGACUCAAUAAAGUCCAAGUAGUGGGCAAGAAAAUUCAAAAUAGAAAGUGCUAAGGAAUGGAGUUGAUAAAGUAGAGUAACUGAAAGUGUGGUAACUAUUGAAUUAAUUAACUUACCUUUUGUUACCUGUUACUUUUUUAAAAGAGGUCAUUUUAUAAUUGAAUAUUUGUUCAAUAAUAUUUAAGUAUAUUGUCACUUGUAUACACAAAAAAAUUCAUGAAUUUAGAAAAAAUUUAACUCCAAAUGGUGGUACAGAAUAUCUCCAGGAGAUUGAACAUGUAUGUGGCAGGCCUAGGGUGGGCAGGAUGUACCCUGUCCCGGCUUUCUCAAACUGUCAUAGCUUUCACUUAGACCAGAAGAACUACUAAAGAAGACAC